rnacentral:lncRNA from 1 species
GCUUCUUCGUCAACAAUAAUCACCACCUAAGAUAUGUCUUAUAGCAAAUUCUAGGACAGCUUCGAUAAACAGGCACUAGAUCGUAAACCCUGAAUAAUUAAAAGUACAUUUCAGAUAUAUAAUAGAUAGAAAUUUCAUGUUUAGUGCACGAAAACAGUUGUUUGGCGUUGUAAAGUACAUUUAAUAUAUAUCCAACAUCUGAGGAAUCAAUAUUAAUAUGUUAGUCCAUCCUCUUUGUAAUAAUAUACAUAGCACGACGACAUUUUUACUGUUAAUCCUGUCGUGCUGACGGGGUAAAGUGGGUUAAUAUUUAUAAUUGAAUAAAUAAAUGAUUGUCGAUCGAUCAUUGACUAUUUUUGGCGACUGUAACUAUAUUGUGAUGUAAUAACAUAGAAACCCCACUGAUCUUCUCUAUGAACGGUUAAUAUCCACAUCAAUCAAAGGCUAAAGUAAUCGAGGAUGAAAGGAAACUAGGACACAAUUAAGCCGCUUUCUUGGCUUAUAUAAAAAUCUUUCAUGUAACUGCUUCAGAAAUGCCAUAUAUAUAACAUGACUAGGGAAU